UACGAAGGGGGCUAGCGUUGUUCGGAUUUACUGGGCGUAAAGCGCACGUAGGCGGAUCGAUCCGUCAGGGGUGAAAUCCCAGGGCUCAACCCUGGAACUGCCUUUGAUACUGUCGAUCUGGAGUAUGGAAGAGGUGAGUGGAAUUCCGAGUGUAGAGGUGAAAUUCGUAGAUAUUCGGAGGAACACCAGUGGCGAAGGCGGCUCACUGGUCCAUUACUGACGCUGAGGUGCGAAAGCGUGGGGAGCAGACAGG
rnacentral:rRNA from 1 species